rnacentral:lncRNA from 1 species
GUCCCCGGCGUCCGGGCGCCCUGCAUGGAUCCCCCACCCCAGCUCCUGCUCCCCGGCGGCGGCCGGUGGGCAGAAAGACCGAAACCCACUCACGGCCGCCUGCCGAAUCGCGGCUCUGCUGUUUGUGGGGCGUGCUAGAAACGUGGUCCUAAAAAGAAUGGCGUCCAUUUACAUAAUGCUUUGUUUGCGUUUCGCAAGUUUCUUUCGGUUAAAGCCACAGAAACCCCACCUCCUGCCCUUGUGUCGUUUCCACCGCGGCACCCUUUUCCGACAUUAGAAACAAUAGUGUACGCCUGUGGAGGCCUCGUUUGUUCAGGGGCUGCCGGCCAGGGCUUCAGGACGUUUCUGCGGCUUUCCCCGCGCGGCCUGGGCUCCCGCGGCUGCUUUUCGGGCCCAUGGGCGCAGCCACUGCGCCAGGCUCAAGGGGGGCGGCCCCGUCAGGGCCCGCCAUCUUGGAAGGCCUUUUUUGCCGGUUCUUCCCGCUGAGGAAGUGUCGCUCAAGACGCUGGCCUAUGAGUUGUGAUUUCUGCCUUUUCCCCUUCCUCCUUGGGCUAAGCCAGACCAGAAAGGGCCCCGUGCGCAACGUGCUUCACAAUCUCUCAGGGAAAGCGGCUAACGUGGCGCUACUCCGCCUCCCCUGUUCCUUACCCUUGGGGCGGCCGCCAUGUUUCCUGAACACAAAAUGGCGACACGUGGUUAGCAUUCGUCGCCAACGAGAAAUUGGGGUCGGCCCGAAAGCUCUAGAAUGCACCCCUCUUCCUCCCCGGGGCCUUCCACCUCCGCGAGUUUUAUGACUUAAAAAAGCCCACAGGCUGGUCUGAAGGUCGGAGGCCUAAUUUUAACGCGUUUUCCUCCCUUUAAUUUGAAACGGGAACGCGAAUGACUGUAAAAUGUGGGCACAAUAUUUAAUCUCUCGCCUUUUUAAAGCUUAAUAGUGGAUAAUAGGGGGGCAGUAUCAAGGGAUAAUUUGGGUCCCCACAGUACCAAAGCAUUUAGAAACCUCUGUUUAAUUUAAGGAAUGAGAUAAGUUACUGCUUUUCUAGACUUCCUAGCAUGGGCUGUUGUGCUGGAGAGAACGAGAGCUACGAAGAGACUACAGUGCCUCUGACUUUUUCAUAGGACAGUUGGCCGAGGAAGACAAACAUAAAGAUGAAGUGCUUAAUUCAAGGUCACACAAUGUCGGGGAUGGACCUCCAGAUUUCCUUACUGGAAAACAAGCUCAGGGCUCCCACUGAUUGUACAUUAUGGUGAGACGUGGUCUUGUAACACAGUGGUUAAGAAUGUGACUUUGGAGCCAGCCUGCUAGGGGCUGAAUUCUGACUCAGCCAUUUACUAACUGUGUGACCUUAGUCUGUCUAGUGACUGGUGUUGUCAUAAGAAGAGAGGGACACAGAGGGAAGAUGGCCACAUGAAGAUGGAGGCAGAGAUUGCAGUUAUGCUGCUGCAAACUAAGGAAUGGCUCUGGCCCUCCAAGGAUUGCUGAUAACCACCAGAAACUAGAAGAGACAAGGAAGGAUUCUUCCCUAGAGCCUUCAGAGGGAGCAUGGCCCUACUGACACCUGGAUUUCAAACUUGUAGCUUCCUAAACUGCAAGAGAAUAAAUUUCUGUUGUUUUAAGCCA